UGGCGGCUGCUACACAUGCAGUCGACGACAUUUAUAAUUUAAAUUUAAGUGGCGGACGGGUGAGUAACACGUGAGAAUUUGCCUUUAGGUUGGGAAUAACAAUUGGAAACGAUUGCUAAUACCCGUAGUGGCCAAUUGGUUAAAGAAUUAAUAAUUUGCCUAAAGAGAAGCUCGCGGCUGAUUAGCUUGUUGGUAAGGUAAUGGCUUACCAAGGCGACGAUCAGUAUCUGGUUUGAGAGGAUGAUCAGACACACUGGAACUGAGACACGGUCCAGACUCCUACGGGAGGCAGCAGUGGGGAAUUUUCCGCAAUGGGCGAAAGCCUGACGGAGCAAUACCGCGUGAGGGAAGACGGCUCAUGGGUUGUAAAUCUCUUUUUUCAGGGAGGAUAUAUUGGACGAUACCUGAAGAAUAAGCAUCGGCUAACUCCGUGCCAGCAGCCGCGGUAAGACGGAGGAUGCAAGUGUUAUCCGGAAUUACUGGGCGUAAAGCGUUUGUAGGUGGUCUAAUAAGUCAACUGUUAAAUCUUGGAGCUUAACUUCAAAAUCGCAGUCGAAACUAUUAAACUAGAGUAUAGUAGAGGUAAAGGGAACUUCCAGUGGAGCGGUGAAAUGUGUAGAGAUUGGAAAGAACACCGAUGGCGAAAGCACUUUACUGGGCUAUUGCUGACACUCAGAAACGAAAGCUAAGGUAGCAAAUGGGAUUAGAUACCCCAGUAGUCUUAGCUGUAAACUAUGGAUACUAGAUGUUGAACAGA
rnacentral:rRNA from 1 species